CAAAUUCCCACAUGGCAUCUGGGAAUCAAAGAAUCUUUACCCUAUAAAAACAAAAUCAGGGCCAUAGCGCCAGAGACACAGAGAGAGAGUGGAGACCCACAGACCACGGCCGGCACUGCAGGUAGUGGUGGCUUCAGAAGUUGGUGGCUUUUGCACUUCCUGGGAGCCCUGAAGGAAAAGCCCAGACUCGGUGUCCGAAAAGCCCUUUGCUGCUCACUGUGUGGCUACAGCAAGGAACAAAUCAGAACAAAAUCUGUACCCACAUCUUAGUGGAGGAAGAGAGACAAUAAAAAAUUAAACAUGUAAGUACACAUUAUGAGUGGUGGUAAACACAGAAAAUGGGGAUUGUUCCUGACAGGGUGAAGGGAAGGUAUCAAUCAUGAAAUUAUAUUUGAGCAGAGCCCCAGAGGAGGUGAAAGGGGACAUAGAUAUUGGGAGACAAGCUUCCUAAGCAGAUGGAUCAGCAAGUGCAAAGGCCCUGGUGUGGGCAUUAUGCUAUAAGACAGAAUUGAGGACACAGCUGAUGUUUCUUAGUGUAGCAUUCCAGAUGGAGUAUAGGAUGCCUGGUUAUGCUGGAAUCACAGUUAAACAAUGGCCAAUUCUAAUAUAAGGAUGUCCCAUACAAUUUGGGACAUAUUUAUACUAAAAAAAUUUAUUCAUUGUUUAAUUGAAAUUAAAAUUUAACUGUGUUAUAUUUUUAUUUGCUAUAUCUGGUGAAUCUCUUCAGUGGUCAGUCAUCGUGUAAGGCACAGAAAUAAAGAUCUUGGUGCUUCUACAAGGGGCCCUGGCUGGAAGACACAGGGAGUCAGCACAGGGGGGCCUGGCAGUGGAUGCUGGUCUUGCUGUUUGGGACCGUGGGCCUUGGCUGAGCCCUCCGCCUUAUGAGCCUUCCUAACUCAGCUGGAGGUGGGAGACGCAGUAUCUGAUUCCGGGGGCAGUAGGAAGAUCAGAGAUGAGCUUCAGGCAGCACGCCUUUAAUCCCAGCUCCUUGGGAGGCUGAGACAAGGUCACAAGUUUGAGUUCAGCCUGGGCAUCAUGGAGAGGCCUGGUCUCCAAAUGAAAAAUAAAAAGUUCUGAGGACAUAGCUCAGCGGGCCCAACCCCCAAUACUGCCAGAAACCCUAAAACAACAACAACAACAACAAUAACAAAACUGGAGUGAAACCGCAAACCUUUCUGCCCUGUCGCCUUGUCAUUGACACUAACUCCUAUCAAGCUUCGUAUUGUGUAUUGUGUACGAGAUGUGCUCGCAUCUGCUGAUCUUCUGAAACUAUCUUUUCACAUGAGUCUUGCUUAAAAAGACAUUUCACCAAGAGGGAGGCAAUAAAGAUAAAACUUGAAGUAAAAGAAACAGCAAUUUUUUUUUUUUUUGUACCAGCGAUUGAACUCGGGUCCUUGCACUUGCACAGCAGGCGGCGAAACCACUGAGCUAAAUCCCUGGCGCAAAAGGACGAUUUUUUUAAAAAUGAGCAGAAACACAGCAAGGGCAGUGAGGGAAGAGAACAGAGACAGCGAGCAGAACUGCGGAGUGGUGACCCGGGAGUUGAAAGCCCAGAGGACUCCCUGCCUGCACUGACUCACUGUGGGACUCGGGGCUGAUGGUUUCUCUCUGGGUCUCAAUUUCUCUAUCUUCAAGAUGAAGGCACUGAACCAUAGAUCUACAGAAUUUUAUUGUAACUGACGGAAAGCUCAGCACACAUUGGCUUGAACAGCCAAGUCCUGGGUGGGACUGGCUUCAGGUUCAGCAGGCUCCAGCGGCUCAUGGUGCUGUCCGUCUGCUGCCUUUUUGCUUGCUUCUCUAUAUAUCUAGCUCUCUCUCUCUCUCUCUCUCUCUCUUUCUCUCUGGCUGUCCUUCAAGGGAGCAGGUAGACAUUGCUUUAAAGAUGGGGAGUCCCCAAACAGAAGAGGUUCAAAUGUCACUGGGAGGAAGGAGACGCUGAUAAGCUAGAGCAAUGAACAUUCCUGCUCUUAAAAAAAGAUUUCUGGUUUUUGAUGUUUCUGCAGGGAGAGGAGUUUAUCAGAUCUGUCACCAGCCCAUGGGCAGUUUUCAGCUACUCACUUUGCAGCCCUUGAGGGGCUUGCAGGGAGUUGCUUGACCAGGUCCUUUGGCUGCAUAAGGGCCGUGCCUUCUUCAAACCCCAUAGCACCCUUUGAAAGGCCAGGGGCACCCUGGGUUUGCAGAAGGGACUGGUAGCUGUGUUGUCACAUGCACGCCCAGGUUGCCAGCCUCUCCAGAAACUCAGAACUCUCUGGUAGCUUUGGAAUCAAAUUCCUGGACCGCCUCCCCGUGGGAAUGAGGUCUGUUCACUGUGGUGCCCACUCCUCGUGAAUCCAGGAGAGGAUGCCCCUUGAAUCCAGUGUCCCUUGCCACUUGUCAUCAAGUCUGUGCUCACGUGGGGUUGGGAGGAAGGUAAAUGUUCCUUGGGCUUUCUACUGUGGGCCCUGCAUCUCUUCGCUGGUGACCUGGCUUCUGCCUUAGGCGGUAAGCGUGUGUGACUUCUGCCAUAAAGGAGGCAGGGAAGAGGGGUGAAGAGGCACUCUGUAUACUCCCUGAACACUGAUAGGGCACCUGCUAUGUGCAAGUGCCCCCAGCACCGGGAGAGACACAAGCCUUCUGUCGGGUGAGCUCCAGUGAAGGACUCAGGUCCUCGAGAGGGUCAGCACAAAGGUGAAACACACCACAGCGGUGACCAGAGACCCAUCGACUAAAAACCAGGCCUCAAGAUAAAGACAAGAGGACCAGACCUACAUACUUCCUCAAAGAACAAACACUGGGCCUAAUGAAGUCUAGAUAGACAUCAGCCACCCUGGUGGGUGACCAGAGAUCUGUGAACCCCCCACUUCCUAGGAGAAUCUUUGUUCUUUCCAUCUACGCUUCUUAGGUGGCUUGUUUCCCAAUUGAACCACCAUUACCUAAGUGCCUACACUUGUAACCUGAUUGGAUGUUCAUGGAUGUGUCCCACGUUGUACGUACGUGGGUUUCACCCUAUAAAACUCCUCUGUAAAGCAGGGUCCCGGGCUACCCACUUGGGGGUAGCCUGCCCCUCGGGAGCUCUCCUAUCCAUAAAUACCUUCUACUCUUAACCCCUGUUGUUCCUAGAACUCAUCGAUUUCUAGAGAACAACAAGAGCUCAGUGUAUCAUACAGCUAACAGGUUGGGAGAUGUAAUAUUUCAUAUUUCAUCUCUGGUAUUAUUUUUUGUAACAGUUGGGGGAAUCAGUUAAUUAAAAUUAUAGCUGACAGAUUAUUCAAUUGUCAGUGUGAAGCCUCCAACAAUUCGUUAAUUGUGACCUCAGGAAUUUAGAGCUCUGCUCCUCGACACGAACUCCAGCAUGAGCAGCACCAGCAGCAGCAGCCUUGGGGAACAGGUUACCAGCCUGGAGUCUUGGGCUCUAUGCAUCUUAAAGCAAGGGAGAAAGGGCUGCUCCCAGGUCCCUGAGCUCGGCUGAGACCUGCGCCGUGCAGACACGUGCAGCAUCCCAUCCCGGCUUGGUCGGGGAUUACCUGGGGGUCUCUGGGCAAGUGAGUCGUGGUCUUCUCAGUGAGGGGAGAGCAGAAGAGGCUGCUCCGUGGGAAGGGGACAUGCAGGAGGUAGUAUAGUCCAGUAGAUGCCACACGCAGGAGCAAAUGCUAGCUUCCAGGGAGCCAGGACCUCUGAGUCAGCUCUUGAAGGAGGAGUGGAAAGGGGCUCCCUCUAAAGCUGAACCAAAGACAGUUAAUGCUCAAAACCAAAACAGGCUUUUUCUGAGAGAAGAAAUAACAGCUGCGAUGGGAAUAAACAAAACCGCAGCUUCCUCUCACUGUUUGCAAGGCUCUGGAAUUCCGCUGUGAUGUCAGCCUUCUCUGAACGGUGUGCGUGUGUCUGUCUUUCUGUGUUUUCCAUUUGGAGCUGCGGCUAUGACCACAUAUGUUUAAGACCAAUAGAGGAUGUUGAGUCUCCAAAAACACCCCAGGAGGAGAGAGUGCAAGGAACCCAGAGCGCCUGCACGGUGAAGGGUUUGCACAGGAACGAGAAUUACAGGAUUUUCAAGCGCCAGUGUGAGUGAGCAUAUUCCUGCCCCUCUAUUCCCUGUCGGGGCUUGAGGACCUCAUCAUCUGGCCUUGGCCAGGUGGGGUGCACAGAGGUGCCGGCUCGGACAUGCCCCCCCUGCUGUGCCAGGCACCCCGUGGGGAAACUGGGCUUCCAUUUGGGCAGAUGAAGUGAGAGUUCUGGGGGAUGAAGAUGAGGUCCCCACCUUCUCUUUGUCGCCUUGGAGACACACACUGUGGGAUGUGCAGGAGAUGUGUGCCAUGGAAACUCCUGAUGGUAACUGAGAUGGAUCUGUGCCCCAGGCUUCACGCAGGGAAGUUGAAUUAUGGGAGUUGAAUUAACGUUGGACUCCUCAGAACAACCAUGGGAGUGAGGAGCAAAGAUGGCUUCUCUGGGGGUCCUGGGCUGAGGGGCCUAGGAAGCUCCUUUGGUGCCUGCCCAGUGAGUGGCCCCAGUCCACCCUUAGGACCAUUCUACUGUACGUAUGGAGCACCUGCUGUGUGCCAGGCCCAGGUGGGCUCAGGUAAGAUGCACAAAGAAGGGACCCCAGAGUCCUGCUCCCAGGACUUCCCCUGGCCGGGGUCACUGCAGGAGCAGCAGUGGUCUUCAUGUAAACUGUCACUCAGACCCUGCAGUGCCCCCACAGGAGAUGGGGCAGGGCCGCCCUACUGCAUUUUCCUCCUAGGUGGAAGGGGGCAGCUUCCUCCAUCUCCAGCUCAGCUGGCCUUGGCGGCCCUGGCAAGUCAGCUCUGGGGCAGGGCAGGGAGGGUGGGAGAGUAUUCCCUGGGCAGUGUCAGUGGCGGUGCUCCCAGAAGCCCCCCACAUCACUCCUUCCUGUGCCCCUCACCUCCACUGUCACUCCCACGGGCCAGAGUGACCGGAUGCCACCUCCCCAGUGGUCCCUGGGUCACAUCUCCUCACUGCACGCUGCCCUCCCCUUCAGCUCCUUGGGUGCCUCCGUUGCCAGGCCCAGCAUCCUUUCUGGGGAGAAGCAAAGGGCGGGAACUGUUCCCCAAGCACACUAAAGUGUCCUGUCCUGUGUCCUCUCCUCCACGGAGGCCACCACGCUGGGUCUCUCACUGCUGUGCCCUCCUGCUCAGCAUGCGCUCAGUGCCAGGACGGGCGGGCUGUGGGGGUGCAGAAUGAAAAUGGGGGCGGCGAGGGUUUGUUAAGAAUCUCAGUAUGGUGCCACCCUUGGGGCCACCUGCCCAACCCCCCGACACUGCGUGGAAUGGAGGCGUGGACAGACGCAGGCCAGCUGGAGGGGCCUUGGGGAAGACCUGAGGACACCCUGCACCCCCUGGCCUAAGUAGGACUGGCCGUCCCUGCAGCCCCCCCCCACAGGCCUGUGCUUUCUCCAUCACGUGGCCCCGCAGGCCGCUGUGUUGUUGGAAAGGGAGACUCCCUUCCCCAAACUCAGUCCUCGCCCCUGCCUCACGUAAGCCCAGCCCCAGGAGGAGGGCACAGGGCAGCAGCACAGCCCUCAGAUACUCUGGGUGAGGCCCACUGUGCCCCCGCUUUUACAGACGGGGACACAGGCUCCGGGAGCAGUGAUUCACUGAGUCCCACCCUGCAGGGGAAGGGGUGCUCUGCGAGACCGGGUGUGCGAACCCUCAGUGAGGAGCGGUGGUCCAGAGGGCCUUGGGAAGGUCAGAGAGUGGUGGGCUUUGGGACCCGUCUCAGGUUGGGGGUGGGUACAAACACAUGGCCCCAAAGCUGAGAGGGGAAGUACUCCCCAGCUCUCACUGCUUUCACUGAUGCAGUCAACAAAUACUGAUUGUUCAGCCCUAGUGGCCCAGGCUCUGGGUUCAAGGCACCAUGGAAGCAAGAGCCGUACAGAGGAUGGGUGGGCUGGGCCUGCAGGAUGUUGGGUUUCUAGCUGGGGAGAGGGCACAGUAAAGACAGUGCAGUUCCACACAGUGAACGAAAUUACAAAAAAUCAAGCAAGUGUGCGUGUGGGGAGCGACCUCAGCUCCCCUGGUCAGAGGUCCCAGGGAGAAAGUGGCAUUCGGGGGGGGCGGGGUGGGGGGCACUGCAGUCACAUGGACUGACUAGGAGCUGAGGCAGGCUGGGGACGUGGAGGCGUCAGCCUGGCUGAAGUAAACGGCAUGUUGGGGCACAGAGGGACGAUCACGCCUCCGGGAGUUUCCCCCGGUUCCGCACUUCCUCCGCACCGCAGCUUUUCCCUCCGCCGCCAGAACCCACCGCUCUGCUCCGGCCUCCUUGCGCGUCCCAACUGCCCGUCCCAGGAGGGCAGGGCAGACUCGGAUUCCUCCCUCCGCAGGCCCAGGGCGUCAAUCCCAGCACCCGGCACCCGGUGGGCACUCGGCCCCAGCGCGCACCACUCGGGGGCUCUCGAGGCGGCCUCUCUUGCGAUCGAGGGCGCGCGGGGCUGAAGAACAAUCUCCGGCCUCGGCUCUCAGCGCCGGAGGUUGGAAGAGGGCGGGUCGCCGGCGCCCGAAGGCGAGGACGCAGAGCCGCGGGAGGAAGGAGCGCUCGCCCGCCCGCCGCCUCGCUGCCUCCCCGCGCUCGUUCUCCGGACUCCUGGAGCUGCCGGCUGCUCCUCCCACCCGCGCCCGCCUCCUCGCUCGCUCGCUCGCUCCCGGGAGCUGCUUUCCAGCCCUGCGGUGGGCCCGGGCGAGUGCGGGGCGAGGGGCCCCGGGCCAGCGCCGAGCAGAGGGCGGGGGUCCGGGCAGAGCGCAGCCGGCCGGGGAGUGGCCAUGUCUGGCGCGGGCGCAGCGGGACCAGUCUGCGGCAAGUGACCGAGCCGUGCGGCCCGCUGCCUGCCCCCUCUGCCACCUGGGGCGGCGCGGCCCGGGUGCCGCGAGCCCGGGAGCCCCGUUCGCGCGUAGAGCCGGCGCGAUGCACGUGCGCUCGCUGCGCGCCGCGGCGCCGCACAGCUUCGUAGCGCUCUGGGCGCCUCUGUUCCUGCUGCGCACCGCCCUGGGAGACUUCAGCCUGGACAACGAGGUGCACUCGAGUUUCAUCCACCGGCGCCUCCGCAGCCAAGAGCGGAGGGAGAUGCAGCGUGAGAUCCUCUCCAUCUUGGGUUUGCCCCAUCGCCCGCGCCCCCACCUCCAGGGCAAGCACAACUCCGCGCCCAUGUUCAUGCUGGACCUGUACAACGCCAUGGCGGUGGAGGAGGGCGGCGGGCCCGACGGCCAGGGCUUCUCCUACCCGUACAAGGCCGUCUUCAGCACCCAGGGCCCCCCACUGGCCAGCCUGCAAGACAGCCACUUCCUCACCGACGCCGACAUGGUCAUGAGCUUCGUCAACCUCGGUCCCGGGCGGGCAGAAUCCAUUUUCAGCGUUUAUCACGUGUGGCGCGCAAACCACGGGGUUUCGCGAUUGGGUGGCUCAGGACCUUGGAGCAGACGCUGAGGGGCGGGUAUGGAGCCCCCGGCACCCCAGCCGGGGACACGAGGCUGGAGCCACGCCGGGUCCCAGGAGCUCCCCUUCAUCUCCGCGCGCGCCUUCACCAGACUUGCUCAAACUCACCCCGGCAGCGCGCUGUAGGGCUCACGAUCAAAUAUUUGGUUUUCGAGAUAACACGCUUGGAUAGCUCUGUUUUCUGGGCCGCUUUCAUUCUUCUUGUGCAACUUGCUGCGAAAAUCCAAACCAAGUGGAAACAGCAAACACGCCCACGGGCGCUGUGUCAACUUGGAAAUAAUGAUGCCCCAGACCUGCGCCCGGCACCUGGGGCGUGGAGGGGAGGCCCAGGGAAGCCGGGAUCUGCCUUAAUGCUUUCCGCUCCAGAUAAGGUUCUUAGUUCCUGGGAGGCCAUUGUCUGCCGGGGCGGGAGGGCGAGGUGUCCAAAUAACUCAAAGUUUAAAUUACACUAAGCGACCAGUUAAAAGCGAAGCAGCUCCACGUGUCCUACUUUAGAACAACCUUCCAAGGUAUAUGAGGUGGGAGAAAAGCAAGACGCAGAUCAGCACCGUGAUGCUCGAGUUUGUGGGUUACCUGUGUUCCACUGGAACAAGACGCCGUGAUCUGGAGAGAGAUUUUACCCGGG
rnacentral:lncRNA from 1 species